GGAAAAUCUCUUCUUCCCUCGUGAUCUUAAUGUUUUCUAUACUCGUUUUUCGAAUACUAUGUCGCAGCCUUAUACGAAAUCUCAGCUUUCAGAGAAGCUUCGUAGGCUUCGGAAGAAGUUUCGGGUUAUUUCUUCUCGUUUGAGUAAAGGGUUAGAUAGGUCGUUGUUGUCUCCUCAUGAUCGUGCUUUGUAUGAUCUAUCGAAACAGCUAUGGCAUCCUGAUUUUUCUGAUACAUCGCCUUUUAAUGCUGAGAAAUCGAA
rnacentral:misc_RNA from 1 species